CAGCCGUAAACUAUGCGCGUUAGGUGUAUCGGUGACCACGAGUUACCGAGGUGCCGAAGGGAAACCGUGAAACGUGCCGCCUGGGAAGUACGGUCGCAAGGCUGAAACUUAAAGGAAUUGGCGGGGGAGGCACCACAACGGGUGGAGCCUGCGGUUUAAUUGGACUCAACGCCGGACAACUCACCGGGAACGACAGCAAUAUGUAGGCCAGGCUGAAGACCUUGCCUGAAUCGCUGAGAGGAGGUGCAUGGCGUAGACGUCU
rnacentral:rRNA from 1 species